GCUUAUCACCAUUCCAGAUUGAAUAUACCCGAUCUCGUCUGAUCUCGGAAGUCAAGCAAUCUCGGGCUUAAAUAAACAUGGAUGGGUGCCCGCUUGGGAAUACCAAGUGUGAUAAGCA
rnacentral:rRNA from 1 species